rnacentral:rRNA from 1 species
UACAGAGGGGGCAAGCGUUAUUCGGAAUUACUGGGCGUAAAGGGCGCGUAGGCGGAUAUUUAAGUUAGAGGUGAAAGCCCAGGGCUCAACCCUGGAAUAGCCUUUAAUACUGGAUAUCUUGAGUUCGGGAGAGGUGAGUGGAACUCCGAGUGUAGAGGUGAAAUUCGUAGAUAUUCGGAAGAACACCAGUGGCGAAGGCGACUCACUGGCCCGAUACUGACGCUGAGGCGCGAAAGCGUGGGGAGCAGACAGG